GCUGGAGUGUGCUUAAAUACACUGCUGAGUGAGGAUGAGGAGCAACACUCACUGUCAGACAAAUAAAGGCAUCAGUAAGCCCAGUGAGCGAGGAAACCCAUUUCCACCAGUUAAAGAACUUGUCAGGGUCUCCUCCCUGCUGUGUGCUCCAGAGCCGCGAGGCUGCAGAUGACAGAGGGAUCAUUCUGUUCUCCUGCUCUGUGCUGAUCAUCACCUGAGCCAGCUGGCCGUGCUGUCGACGCAGAUGUGCUGGGACUCCUCCAGCUAUCCAGGAGGCCACGUAGGAAUCCCCCUGGCAGCGAACACCUCAGGCACGUAACAAUGGCUCACUGUGCAAGGAAAAGAGCGACUGCCCCUCCUCGGCUGGGUUAGAGGAGGGCUGUGGGUGUGGGCACAAGAUCGCAG